UACUGUUGAAAACAAGCCAAUAAAACUCUAGUUCACAAUAUCAGUGCUCGGAUACGCUUUUUGGGAAAAGGUCGUUUCCAUGUCUCAACCUUCCCUCAGUUGUAUGGGAAUAUACUACGAUAUUUUUCUCUUCAAUAAAAAUUCCGUGAUGCUUUCUUUAAGAAAAAUGCUUAAUGUUUUUUUUUUAUAGUCCGAUAUAGAUUCCUGUCUUAACUUUUUUAAUCUAUUUGAUAAUCAAGACAGAAACUAACAUACUUCUUUCCCCCAUGACUGUCCACACUCUAAUGGGAGGUGAAAGCAUGUGCAGUGUUGCCAUAGUAAAAGAGUUGCUCAGCUACAUCAGUAACCCAUUUCGAUCACCGAUACAAAUUUUUUUGUAGGCGAAAAAUUGUAUCCAGUUAGAAUGGCCCGAUUCGCGUUAAGAAUAUCCCGCACACAGUGAGCAUACUAGUCCUGUUGCAGUUCAAUGGAGCUGUAUGAGUUGAGUUCAGUGCCUUCGCCUACCAGUAUUGUAUCUCUGGAUCGAUUCCCUAUGGACUCUAAUGUAAUGCAUAAAUCCACGUGAAUGCAAUGCACUGCAUCAGAUUUAUCAAGGUAAAUACUUUGUAUUGACCAGAUUUUUAAUUUCGUCUUCAAAAAAAAUCAUGUUGAGCAGCCGUGAAAUGCUCAUGUAGAAUUUUCAUAUUAAAAGGCAUUAUUUAUUUUUGCAGAGAAAUGUUCGUUAGUGUUGAUUGGGGUCAAAUAAUGACUUUUUAGGACUGCAAUAGGGCGGCUUAACCUAGCUUUCAUAUGUAAGGACUCAAUUUAAGUAUCUUUUAGAUGCCUAAGUUGAACAACUGUGGAAAAGAAUGUAUACACCAGACCCCAAAAAAAAUUAAGAGAUCCAUUGUACACUUGCUCAGUGUGAAAAAACUUUGUUUAAUAAGAAAUAUAAAAGCGUAAUGCGGCCAAGGAAGUGAAAUCGCCAUUUGAGCACUGUCAUAGUCUUAAUGUUGGUUAAUAAAGUCUAUUUGUUUUUUCAAUGUUAAAGAAACGUAGAACGAAGUGAAAGAAAAAAUGUGCUGACAGUGUAGAGAAGAGUUCGAACAAUAGAAAUGCAGUUCACCAGUCGGAUGCUUUAACGAUAAUAGAAAAAGAGUAUGCCUCCUGGAAGUUCAAAAGCUAAGCUUCUUACCCAGGGUUAGUUAAAAUGUUUUCAUGCUUAAAAAUUCUUUUGGCAGAUUCAAAUCUUAUAUGCAUAUGCGAGCAGCUAAUCAAACUGAAAAUAAAAACGCCGGCGUUAAACGCAGAAAUUUAGUUUAUUUCGGAUUGCCUAACGAAACCAUUAAUUAUUUAAAGACAUAAUGUACAGACUGAUCGAGAUUUUGUCCUCUGCUCAUCAACACAAAUUUCAUUACUAGUGUGACAUAGAUGUGAAAUGAAACAAAACUAAUUUGAAGACGCCACUUAAUGCCCCAUUCCGUUUUUCAUAAACAUUAAGGUUUAGUCUUGUUGAAGCAAAGAACUGCAUUGAAAUGAAGACUUUCUCUAUUAAAAGACUCAUGCCCUCUAACAAAUUUUAAGGAAAAGAGUACAACGAAUAUGUCCAGCUUACCUGCAGAUCCAAAACUAUUAGUGCGUAAAAAAUCUGGUUGAACUAGUACUAAGGAUAAGAUCUCUACAUUUAUUAAGCUGAAAUCUGUGGAGUAUCAAUAGCUAAAAGAUUGGUUAUAGAGCUACAUAAUGUAAUGCAAUCAACAUUGGAGUGUGGAUGAACUUAACUUUCAGAGGAAAAUGCCAAGUGAAAAUUGAUUAGACUAGUUUUGACUGAAAAUUAAAAAAGUUUUUUCCAAAAAAAGGAAAGGAAAAAGAAAAAACAACAACUUGAACCUAACAAAAAGUUUUAAACAGGGAUGUGGAGUCUGAGUCUGUAGAUUUUUGGGUAAAUUGAGUCGGAGCCAUUAUGUCGCUACAAACAAGCCUACUCCAACUCCAGUUUUUUUUGCCAGUUCGAAUUAAGAAUGAAAUAAAACCAAUUUAAAAAAAUAAUAAAUAAUGACAAACUGAGUUAUUUUUAUUAAUCAACAAUAUAGAUUAAUAAAUAUUUAGUUAUUUUCUAUUUUAUUGACAUAUUAAUAAAUGAGAAAAAGGAAACUAGUUUGCUAGACAAUGAGAUCUUGCUGGAUUCAAUAUAUGUAGUUUCAAUGCAUUUAAUUUUGUUUGAUGGCGAACAAAUUUAAAAAAGCAAACAAAGCCAUAUAUGAAUUUAUACUAAGAAUGAAAGUAUUCUCAGAAAGACUGCAGACAUUGCAACUGAGUAUCCAUCAACGUCUUCCAAUGAUGAAUUUGAUUUUGAGAAAUAUUUGGAUAGUUUUGAAAAGGCUGAGGCAAAGUGAAUGAAAAUAAAUAACCAAGAAUUUAGAUAUAAAAAUUAAAAACAAGUUUCGACAUAGCCCUUGAAGAAAUAUGAUUGUUCCUGGAAAGUGCCUCUUUUAGAACCUAUACAAAUAAAUCUAUCCUGAAAAGUUAAAAUAAGCAAUCCUAACAGUAAUGCUCUUCCUCCAGUUCAAGUUAGAGACAGCUCUGUGGUUUAUCAAAUUGGAGUUACAGUCCUCAGUCAAAAAAGAUAUAGCACAGCUAUAUUGUUUUUUAAAAAUUACUAAUGCCAGUUUUUCCAUUUCACAAUAAAUGCGAAUUAAUAUAGAUAAUCUGCUAUACCAUAAAUUUUUUUUUCUGUAGCAUUUAUUAUUUCUUUUAUAUUAAAAAAUAAACAAGUUGUAAUGU
rnacentral:lncRNA from 1 species